UGAGAAAGUGAAAGGAGCCCGCGGGCGGCGGCGACAGCUGCGCUGGGAGGGGCUUGGUUCCCGGCUCCGGGGCCACGCGCGCUCUGCGGUCGCACGGAGCCCGGCCGGCCGCGGAGUCCGUGAAAUGUCGGAGGGCUCGGCUGCGCCGAGUGGACGCAGGUGUCCCCGGCGAGGCAGGGGCGCUCGGGCUCCGGCCGCGGGGACUCCCUGCGCUGCUCUCCACCUGCUGUGGCGGACGACGCCCAGGUCCCCGGCCGCCCGCGCGCGGGCUUGCAGGGCUGAGGACCGCUCGGGGUCCCGGUGCCAUCGGGGCGCUGCGGCGGACUCCCGAGCCGCUCUGAGAGGCAGCUCCUGGGCGCCGCUCUCCUGACGCCGCCGCGGUCAAGUUAGGGGCGGGGCCCUCCGUGUCCUGGGUGCGCUUAAAUGCCUUAUUAGACAAGUGAGGACAUUCCCAAGCGACCGAAUUUUAUAGUAUUACUGCCAAAUGGGUAGUUGUAGGAGCCCUUAGUGUAACGCCGUAAUUGCUACGUAGCAAGCCGCAAGCCAGGCAUGAUAGAAGACAGUGUCGUUUCUUCUCCCGCGACUAAACUUUUCACUGGGUAGUUUUGCAAUUAAACUCUGCACUUCGUGGUGACUAAAGAAAGGUAGAAAGUUCUGGCCCUCGACCUACAGGAAGCUGGAGGCGAGAAGCAGAGGUAAAAAGUUGACCAACAGGUGCGGCACGGGGGCGGGGAAGAGGGAGUGGUUCAAACUAGAAAGCUGUAUGGUGAGGCAAUCUUUUUGCCAGCGUUUGGCUAAUGAGGUGUGUUUAUUCUUCUCUGACUGAACCCGGACUGGCAAGCCUGUUGCUAACCACCUUGCCAGGGGACCUUUCAACUUGGGCAAACUGUGCUUUCGCUUUGUUCCAGGUCAAAUGGGCAAAGAGAGUAGAAAGUGCUGUGUGGGUGCGGCCGACGAGUUGAAUUGCUAAUGCAGUUCAGGCAGGCGCUGCCAGCGCAUUGGAAACCCACAGUGAAGUUCUCCCUGCUCAGCCUCUGUGCCCGAAAAACGUGAAAGAGAAAUGAAGUAUAGAACCAAAUAGAACAAGAUUAUGGCAUGCAUAACACCUUUUACCUUUAUAAAACCCAAACCUUCAGAACCAAAUUAUGUUUU